UAUGCUUGUCCUAAGUCGAACUUUGUUAAGUUUGACCAAGUUUAUAAAAAAAAUACUAAUAUCUACAAAAUGAAAUAUGUAUAGUAUAAAAACAUACUUUACAAGGAAUCUAAUUAAACGAAUUUGGUGCUGUAGAUGUUGGUAUAUUUUUUUAUAGACUUGGUGAAAUUUAGAAAAGUUCCACUCAGGACAAACUUAA
rnacentral:pre_miRNA from 1 species